AUUGAACGCUGGCGGAAUGCUUUACACAUGCAAGUCGAACGGCAGCAUAGGAGCUUGCUCCUGAUGGCGAGUGGCGAACGGGUGAGUAAUGCAUCGGAACGUGCCCAGUCGUGGGGGAUAACGCAGCGAAAGCUGCGCUAAUACCGCAUAAGAUCUCUGGAUGAAAGCGGGGGACCGUAAGGCCUCGCGCGAUUGGAGCGGCCGAUGUCAGAUUAGGUAGUUGGUGGGGUAAAGGCUCACCAAGCCAACGAUCUGUAGCUGGUUUGAGAGGACGACCAGCCACACUGGGAAUGAGACACGGCCCAGACUCCUACGGGAGGCAGCAGUGGGGAAUUUUGGACAAUGGGCGCAAGCCUGAUCCAGCCAUUCCGCGUGCAGGACGAAGGCCUUCGGGUUGUAAACUGCUUUUGUACGGAACGAAAAUGCCCUUGUUAAUACCAGGGGUAAAUGACGGUACCGUAAGAAUAAGCACCGGCUAACUACGUGCCAGCCGCCGCCGUAA
rnacentral:rRNA from 1 species